AGUAUGGAGACCCUGCCAUUUGCGACAACAUGGAUGUAUCUGCAGGACAUUAAGACAAGUGCAAUAAGCAAGACACGGAAAGAAAAUAUAGCAUGGUCUCUCUUAUAUGUGGAAUUUUAAAAAUUAACUCUGAAUACUUUGGAUUAAACUAUGCAGCAGUCGUCCAAGAGAUGUCCACAUAUGUACUCCUGUUAAUGUUAGUUCCUUUCAGCCAAGCCAUCAGAGGUUCUCCCUGGAUCUCAUUUUUGGGGUGAUGUCCUAUACUUUUUUUUAAAUCUCCAUUAACUCCUC
rnacentral:lncRNA from 1 species